GUUUCUUUCUUGGGGUCUGUAUUGGGCGUACAGAGCUCGUAGGCGGUUUGUCGCGUCUGCCGAUGAAAGUCCGAGGCUCAACCUCGGAUCUGCGGUGGGUACGGGCAGACUAGAGUGAUGUAGGGGAGACUGGAAUUCCUGGUGUAGCGGUGAAAUGCGCAGAUAUCAGGAGGAACACCGAUGGCGAAGGCAGGUCUCUGGGCAUUUACUGACGCUGAGGAGCGAAAGCAUGGGGAGCGAACAGGAUUAGAUACCCUGGUAGUCCAUGCCGUAAACGUUGGGCACUAGGUGUGGGGGACAUUCCACGUUUUCCGCGCCGUAGCUAACGCAUUAAGUGCCCCGCCUGGGGAGUACGGCCGCAAGGCUAAAACUCAAAGGAAUUGACGGGGGCCCGCACAAGCGGCGGAGCAUGCGGAUUAAUUCGAUGCAACGCGAAGAACCUUACCAAGGCUUGACAUGUGCCAGACCGCUCCAGAGAUGGGGUUUCCCUUCGGGGCUGGUUCACAGGUGGUGCAUGGUUGUCGUCAGCUCGUGUCGUGAGAUGUUGGGUUAAGUCCCGCAACGAGCGCAACCCUCGUUCCAUGUUGCCAGCACGUAGUGGUGGGGACUCAUGGGAGACUGCCGGGGUCAACUCGGAGGAAGGUGGGGAUGACGUCAAAUCAUCAUGCCCCUUAUGUCUUGCGCUUCACGCAUGCUACAAUGGCCGGUACAAUGGGUUGCGAUACUGUGAGGUGGAGCUAAUCCCUAAAAGCCGGUCUCAGUUCGGAUUGGGGUCUGCAACUCGACCCCAUGAAGUCGGAGUCGCUAGUAAUCGCAGAUCAGCAACGCUGCGUGAUACGCUCCCCGCGGGCCUAAA
rnacentral:rRNA from 1 species